rnacentral:rRNA from 1 species
GACGAACGCUGGCGGCGUGCUUAACACAUGCAAGUCGAACGGAAAGGCCCAGCUUGCUGGGUGCUCGAGUGGCGAACGGGUGAGUAACGCGUGGGUGAUCUGCCUCUAACUUCGGGAUAAGCUUGGGAAACUGGGUCUAAUACCGGAUAGGACAAUCGUUUAGUGUCGGUUGUGGAAAGUUUUUUCGGUUAGGGAUGAGCCCGCGGCCUAUCAGCUUGUUGGUGGGGUAAUGGCCUACCAAGGCGUCGACGGGUAGCCGGCCUGAGAGGGUGGACGGCCACAUUGGGACUGAGAUACGGCCCAGACUCCUACGGGAGGCAGCAGUGGGGAAUAUUGCACAAUGGGCGCAAGCCUGAUGCAGCGACGCCGCGUGGGGGAUGACGGCCUUCGGGUUGUAAACCUCUUUCGACAGGGACGAAGCUUUGGUGACGGUACCUGUAUAAGAAGCACCGGCUAACUACGUG